AGCACUUCCUAAAUUGAUUUUGGCACUCCUCACCUUCUCACAUGAAUAGUAAGGGAGAGGAGUACCAAUAUCAAUUUUAGAAGUGCC
rnacentral:pre_miRNA from 1 species